rnacentral:rRNA from 1 species
CCUACGGGAGGCAGCAGUGAGGAAUAUUGGUCAAUGGCCGUAAGCCUGAACCAGCCAAGUCGCGUGAGGGAAGACGGCCCUAUGGUUUGUAAACCUCUUUUGUCGGGGAACAAAGGUCUCCACGUGUGGCUUUUUGCAUGUACCCUAAGAAUAAGCAUCGGCUAACUCCGUGCCAGCAGCCGCGGUAAUACGGAGGAUUCGAGCGUUAUCCGGCUUUAUUUGGGUUAAAGGGGUCGUAGGUGGUCUUUUAAGUCCGCGGGGAAAUUUUGGGGCUCAACCCUACAAGUGCCGUUGAAACUGGCAGACUUGAGUGGGCGUGAAGUAGGCGGAAUGCGUGGUGUAGCGGUGAAAUGCAUAGAUAUCACGCAGAACUCCGAUUGCGAAGGCAGCUUAC